UACAGAGGUGGCAAGCGUUGUUCGGAAUUACUGGGCGUAAAGGGCGCGUAGGCGGCCUUCUAAGUCAGACGUGAAAUCCCCAGGCUUAACUUGGGAACUGCGUCUGAUACUGGGAGGCUUGAAUGCGGGAGAGGGAUGUGGAAUUCCUGGUGUAGCGGUGGAAUGCGUAGAUAUCAGGAAGAACACCGGUGGCGAAGGCGGCUCGCUGGGCCAGUUCUGACACUCAUCCGCGAAAGCGUGGGGAGCAAACAGG
rnacentral:rRNA from 1 species